rnacentral:rRNA from 1 species
GCUGCUUCGCUGACGAGUGGCGGACGGGUGAGUAAUGUCUGGGAAACUGCCUGAUGGAGGGGGAUAACUACUGGAAACGGUAGCUAAUACCGCAUAACGUCGCAAGACCAAAGAGGGGGACCUUCGGGCCUCUUGCCAUCGGAUGUGCCCAGAUGGGAUUAGCUAGUAGGUGGGGUAACGGCUCACCUAGGCGACGAUCCCUAGCUGGUCUGAGAGGAUGACCAGCCACACUGGAACUGAGACACGGCCCAGACUCCUACGGGAGGCAGCAGUGGGGGAUCUUCCGCAAUGGGCGCAAGCCUGACGGAGCGACGCCGCGUGGGUGAGGAAGGCCUUUGGGUUGUAAAGCCCUGUCGGCGGGGACGAAGGCGCUGGGAUGAAUAGUCCUGGCGUUGACGGUACCUGCAGAGGAAGCCCCGGCUAACUACGUGCCAGCAGCCGCGGUAAUACGUAGGGGGCGAGCGUUGUCCGGAAUCAUUGGGCGUAAAGGGCGCGUAGGCGGCUGUAUAAGUCUGAUGUGAAAGUGCGGGGCUUAACCCCGUAAAGCAUUGGAAACUGUACGGCUUGAGGACAGGAGAGGAAAGUGGAAUUCCUAGUGUAGCGGUGAAAUGCGUAGAUAUUAGGAGGAACACCAGUGGCGAAGGCGACUUUCUGGACUGUAACUGACGCUGAGGCGCGAAAGCGUGGGGAGCAAACAGGAUUAGAUACCCUGGUAGUCCACGCCGUAAACGAUGUCGACUUGGAGGUUGUGCCCUUGAGGCGUGGCUUCCGGAGCUAACGCGUUAAGUCGACCGCCUGGG